UUUUUGACAACGCUAGACCUAGACACAACGAUGACUCCUGAGCUCCCAACAAAAUUAGCCAUUUGGAUGAGGACCCAAAAACCUUUCUUCUUGAAUGAAAAUAACAGAAAACCUUGAGCACCCUUAUCAUCUUCAUCUCCAAACAAUCGAAAAACCCAUCUCUCUGACACAAAAAAGCAGCCACCUAAAACCUUAGAGAGAGCUCCCUUCACCAAGAAGCAGUUGUAUCCUUCCCACAAAAAAAAAAAAGAGAUCGACCGUUAACACAAAGAAGAAGAUACUAAUUCUGAAGAUUUGGGGUCGUGCGAUUAUGUUUCUUUGAGGCGCUACAUUUGGAGAGAUUCAUUCGAAAUAUGGAAAGAAAUCUAUUGUAUAGAUAUCAUUUUUGAAGGAUUUUAAGAUCGGAAUUGAAUUCGAAGUCUAACGAAUAAAAUGCUGAAAGGUCAUCAUUUUACUGAAGAAUCUCUAAUUUUCGAAUGAUAAAUUGAGUUUUAAAAACUAUUAAAAUCGCUGUUCUUCCAAAUCGGUUCAUAUGGUGGCGGACAUGAGACAAAAAGACACCCCACCUUCACUGCCAAC
rnacentral:lncRNA from 1 species